UGCAUAUCAAAUAAGCGGAGGAAAAGAAAAUAACAAAUGAUUUCCCUAGUAACGGCGAGUGAAGAGGAAAGAGCUCAAAGUUGGAACCUGUUUGGCCUAGCUAAACCGGAUUGUAGACUGUAGAAGUGUUUUCCAGGCAAGCCGAGUAAAUAAGUCCUUUGGAACAGGGCAUCAUAGAGGGUGAGAAUCCCGUCUUUGGCUUGAGCAUUUGCCUUUUGUGAUACGCUUUCAAAGAGUCAGGUUGUUUGGGAAUGCAGCCUAAAUUGGGUGGUAAAUCUCACCUAAAGCUAAAUAUUGGCGAGAAACCGAUAGCGAACAAGUACCGUGAGGGAAAGAUGAAAAGAACUUUGAAAAGAGAGUUAAACAGUAUGUGAAAUUGUUAAAAGGGAACCGUUUGGAGCCAGACUGGCUUGUCUGUAAUCAAUCUAGGCUUCGGCCUGGAUGCACUUGCAGGCUAUGCCUGCCAACGACAAUUUGACUUGAGGGAAAAAACUAGGGGAAAUGUGGCCCACUUGUGGGUGUUAUAGUCCCUUAGAAAAUACCUUGGGUUGGAUUGAGGAACGCAGCGAAUGCUUAUUGGCGAGUUUUCCAGGAAGGUUUUCUGAGGUACUACGGUAUCAAGGUUGAUCUUUUUGGUUAUACUUCUAUUCGCUUAGGUUGUUGGCUAUAUAUGACUCUAAAUGACCCGUCUUGAAACACGGACCAAA
rnacentral:rRNA from 1 species